CCUACGGGAGGCAGCAGUAGGGAAUAUUGCUCAAUGGGGGAAACCCUGAAGCAGCAACGCCGCGUGGAGGAUGAAGGUUUUCGGAUUGUAAACUCCUUUUGUUAGAGAAGAUAAUGACGGUAUCUAACGAAUAAGCACCGGCUAACUCCGUGCCACCAGCCGCGGUAAUACGGAGGGUGCAAGCGUUACUCGGAAUCACUGGGCGGAAAGAGCGCGUAGGCGGGAUAGCAAGUCAGAUGUGAAAUCCUAUGGCUUAACCAUAGAACUGCAUUUGAAACUGUUAUUCUAGAGUAUGGGAGAGGUAGGUGGAAUUCUUGGUGUAGGUGUAAAAUCCGUAGAGAUCAAGAGGAAUACUCAUUGCGAAGGCGACCUGCUAGAACAUAACUGACGCUGAUGCGCGAAAGCGUGGGGAGCAAACAGGAUUAGAUACCCUUGUAGUC
rnacentral:rRNA from 1 species